AUUGAACGCUGGCGGCAGGCUUAACACAUGCAAGUCGAGCGGGGGAAGGUAGCUUGCUACCGGACCUAGCGGCGGACGGGUGAGUAAUGCUUAGGAAUCUGCCUAUUAGUGGGGGACAACAUCUCGAAAGGGAUGCUAAUACCGCAUACGUCCUACGGGAGAAAGCAGGGGAUCUUCGGACCUUGCGCUAAUAGAUGAGCCUAAGGCGGAUUAGCUAGUUGGUGGGGUAAAGGCCUACCAAGGCGACGAUCUGUAGCGGGUCUGAGAGGAUGAUCCGCCACACUGGGGCUGAGGAACGGCCCAGACUCCUACGGGAGGCAGCAGUGGGGAAUAUUGGACAUUGGGGGGAACCCUGAUCCAGCCAUGCCGCGUGUGUGAAGAAGGCCUUAUGGUUGUAAAGCACUUUAAGCGAGGAGGAGGCUACUCUAGUUAAUACCUAGGGAUAGUGGACGUUACUCGCAGAAUAAGCACCGGCUAACUCUGUGCCAGCCGCCGCAGUAA
rnacentral:rRNA from 1 species